rnacentral:snoRNA from 1 species
AAAUUGGCAGCUGAUGACUUAACUUUUUUCCCCAUCAGAUCGACCCUGUUGAUCCAACUGAACUAUUAGCCAGUUUUACAAAAUU